rnacentral:rRNA from 1 species
CACGUAGGGGGCGAGCGUUGUCCGGAUUUAUUGGGCGUAAAGAGCUCGUAGGCGGCUCGGUAAGUGAGGUGUGAAAACUCCAGGCUCAACCUGGAGACGCCACCUCAUACUGCCGUGGCUAGAGUCCGGUAGGGGAGCAUGGAAUUCCUGGUGUAGCGGUGAAAUGCGCAGAUAUCAGGAGGAACACCAGUGGCGAAGGC